GUCUAAAGCAGGGUUAUAAGGAGAAUGAGUAGCUGGUGGGAAGGAAGCCCAUGAGUGGGGAGUUUGGUAGAGGAGGAGGUGAGAAGAGCUAGGAAGCAGAACAGAAUGUGAAACAAGCACUCUGUGAUAUUGAGGGAUGCACUUUAGCAUGGUAAUAGGCACUGCAGGCAGCCAUUUUUCCCUUCUGCCAGUGAUGAGGGAAAUGGCUCCUUUGGGUAGAGGGUAAGAUCUCCACAAGCUCCUGGGUAAUCCUGCUCCUCUCUGCUUGCCACUAACAUGCAAUGUAGGGAGAUUGUACAGCUGUAGUGAGGUGAAUGUUAGGUUACUUGGUCUGGCUGCUGGGCUUUGCCCAGAAGAAAAGUAAACUUUGCACAUCUUCCCAACAGGCAGUGGCUUUAUUCUUUGAAGCCAGACACCUAACAGCAUUAAGUCUCUGUUUUCCAAAACAACCUGUGAGCAAAUAAAAACAGAGGCUGGCAGCAGGCAGGCAAAGAAUCUUGACGCUGCAACAAUGAGGACAGUCCAGCCAUCUUGCUCUCUGACCAGAGGAAAACUGAACGUGCCUCCCUUGCACUAAGGUGCUGCUGCCACAGACAGAUUUCAAGCCUUGCCUGUGAGCCUCUCAGCUGCUUGCCUCUGAGUCAGGCACUGCGUGCGUGUGUUAUGGACUCAUGCUUGCCAUUGUAGUGAAUAAACCUUAAGAUCAAACGGUG
rnacentral:lncRNA from 1 species